GGCGGACGGGUGAGUAAUGCAUGAGGAAUCUGCCCGGUAGUGGGGGAUAACUUGGGGAAACUCAAGCUAAUACCGCAUACGCCCUACGGGGGAAGAGCAGGGGGGAUCUUCGGACCUUGCGCUAUCGGAUGAGCGCUAUGUCGGAUUAGCUAGUUGGUGAGGUAACGGCUCACGCAAGGCCGCGAUCCGUAGCUGGUCUGAGAGGAUGAUCAGCCACACUGGGACUGAGACGACGGCCCAGACUCCUACGGGAGGCAGCAGUGGGGAAUAUUGGACAAUGGGCGAAAGCCGUGAUCCAGCCAUGCCGCGUGUGUGAAGAAGGCCUUCGGGUUGUAAAGCACUUUCAGCGAGGAAGAAGGCUUGCGGGCUAAUACCCCGUAAGAAGGACAUCACUCGCAGAAGAAGCACCGGCUAACUCCGUGCCAGCAGCCGCGGUAAUACGGAGGGUGCAAGCGUUAAUCGGAAUUACUGGGCGUAAAGCGCGCGUAGGCGGCUUGAUAAGCCGGUUGUGAAAGCCCCGGGCUCAACCUGGGAACUGCAUCCGGAACUGUCAGGCUAGAGUGCAGGAGAGGAAGGUAGAAUUCCCGGUGUAGCGGUGAAAUGCGUAGAGAUCGGGAGGAAUACCAGUGGCGAAGGCGGCCUUCUGGACUGACACUGACGCUGAGGUGCGAAAGCGUGGGUAGCAAACAGAUUAGAUACCCUGGUAGUCCACGCCGUAAACGAUGUCGACUAGCCGUUGGGAGCCUCGAGUUCUUAGUGGCGCAGUUAACGCAAUAAGUCGACCGCCUGGGGAGUACGGGCCGCAAGGUUAAAACUCAAAUGAAUUGACGGGGGCCCGCACAAGCGGUGGAGCAUGUGGUUUAAUUUCGAUGCAACGCGAAG
rnacentral:rRNA from 1 species